UUUAGUUUUUAUAUGUUAAAAAUGCAUGAUAACAAUGCAAAGGAAUUGUUUGCUACAUAUUCAAAACCGUGAAUUUUCCUGCAUGUUUAGCCAGCUAUCACGUUAGCUUAAAUAUUGUUGUUAGUAAGCUGAAUCCAUUUAGAAAGAUGUAAAUAACCAGUCGUCGUUCACGUGCAGGUUAACAGGUUUUUAAUAAUCAAGCAGAGAAUUCAGACACACGUUCGUAUCUUCAUAAAAAGGAGCAGUACACACAACCUUAUUUGAGCUAAAGUAGUUAAGAAGUUAAAGAGCACCCUGCUGAAAAAUCCAGCAUCAAACCAGCAUGGGAAUUAUGAUGGUCUUUGCUGGUGGUCACCAGCAUAACAGCACCAAAACACAACAUAUGCUGUGGCCUGCUGGUAUGACCAGCAUGGGAUGCUAGUGCUAAUGCUGGUUUGGUGAUGGUCCUGGUUUGAGGCUGUUUAGCUGGUGUUCACUAGCAAACCAGCACCAAAACACAACAUAUGCUGGUCUUGCUGGUAUGCUGUUUUUUUCAGAAGGGCACAUUUUUCAGAUUCACGAAUUUACACACCCUUUGAUGUGUAAGUGUUAAAGACAUGUGAACGAUGUGCAAAUGUACAAAACCCUACACUGUAAAAAAUUUGCUGUAAUUAUGCAGCUGGUUGCCAGUAACUUACUGUAGAAGUUAAAGACUGAAAAUGUUUCAUGUUAAUUUAACUUUGAACAAACUGUUGCCAGUAAAUAACAUAAAUGUAAAAUCUACAGUAAGUUACUGGCAGCUAGUUGGCAGUAACACCCAGUAAUACUGUAAUUUCUACAGAAAUUUUUUACAGUGUAAGUAAACAAUGACGCCAGUUAUCUUCUUCAACUUAAAUCUCUUUUCUUGGACUACAACAAACACACAACAGUUUACUUCUAUGGAUUGCACACAACUUUUCUUAAAUUAGCACACAAAAAAUAGCAUGCAUCACCUCUUUGAUAUAAGCAAUCAACUACUGUAUGACCUGUGUCCUGUAUGAAACUAUGACCAACUAUUAAGACUAUAAAUCUGUUUCAGGUUAACUGGUUGGGGCUUAUUGGCGGGACAGAUGUACGAGACUGCACAUGGCAUAUAUUAAAGAGGGCGACCGACAGCUCCCUGGCUUAAAACCUCAACUGGAUGGAAAAGACUUUAUUUGCCACCCUCUAACUCAGAGAGGUAGUGAUUGAUGCAGUUCGGAGAAGGUCCCUUACAGUUGUGGAGGGGACAAUGAAGAGGUGGCUUGAUCGAGAGGGUGGGUGCAAGAGACAACUUUAGCAAAAGAAAAGCAGUUAGUGUUAGCGCCUGUGUUUGUUUCUGCAAAGGAGAAUGUUUUGUGCUGUAAAAAGAGUGGUGGUGUUUUGGUUAAAUGUGUUUAACUUGUUUUAAUUACUUGGCUUGUGUGUGAGAGGUGUGUGUGCGUGUGGGUUGGUAUAUGUGGUUUAUGGGGAAUAGUGUAUAAUGACAUGUUUAAUAUGCUAUAAACAUGCUUUACAGGGACACAAUACUAAGUGGUACUUUUUCAGAUUAAAGACUUCCAACAGAUUUUUGUUAUGGUUGGGCUUAGGGACUGGGGUAAGUUAAGGCAAUAGAAUAUACAGUUUGUACAGUAUAAAAUGCAUUGUGUCUAUGGAAUUGUCCCGGUAAACCACAUAUGCCAACGUGUGUGUGUGUGUGGUGUGUGUGUGAGAGAGAAUUUUUUUCUUUAAAUGUUAAUUAAUUUGUUUUACAUGUUGUCUCGCUGUAAUUGCUUAAGGGGAUAAUUCACCCCAAAAUUGCAAUUUUAUCAUAAAUCACUUCCCCUCUGUCGUUCUAAACCAACAAGUGCUUAGAUUGUCUUUAGAACACGUUUUUAGAUAUUUUUGAUGAUAACUGGGAGGCUUCUGUCCGUCCCAUUGAUUUCAGUAAGUUUUACAAUCCAUUUAACACAAAAGAAUGAAAGACAUUGCCAAAAAGUUCAGUGUUCCAUCAGUAUUUCAAUGAAAAUUUUUUUCAACAGUUUGUUCUUCUCCUUGGUCGUUCAAAGCCUGUUAACGACCAGACUACGGCGCAUCCUGCUGAUGUCACCUGCUGCUGACGUCACCUGCUGACGUAGUUCCCAGCGUACAGACAGAAUAGGCUUCCAAGUAAUUUGUACAUUUAUUUGGGCUGUUUAAGUAUUGUUACAAUGUUUGCAUUAUGCUUUAAAAAAAAGCGUAGAAAAACAAAAAAAAACAUUGGUAACCACAUCAGCAAGUGACGUGAGCUGCAGGUGAUGUCAGCAGCAUCGCUGUAGUCUGGUCUUGAAUACACUUUCAACAACUAAGGAGGAGAACAAAUUGUUGAAAUCGUUCGUUUUAUUUUCUUUGUGCACAAAGUGUUCUUGUCACUUCAUAAUAUUAUUAUUAAACUACUAAUGGAAAAUGGACCUUUUUGGCGAUGUCUUUCAUUCUUUUCUGGGAAACGGAUUGUGAGACUAACUUAAGUCAAUGGGACAGACAAAAGCCUCCCGGUUUUCAUAAAAAAAUUCUAAAAAUGUAUUCUGAAGACAAUCAGAGCACUUGGUGGUUUAGAACGACACAGGGGUAAGUGAUUUAUGAGAAAAUUAUCAUUUUAAGGGUAAACUAUCCCUUUAAAAAUGUUUAUAAAGUGGGUUAUGUGCUUGUAAAAUGUGUUGUGUAAGAGAUAUAUGUCUGUUUGUAUUUGUUGGGUUUUUGUAAAGUGUACUGAAUUUGUUAAGAAUUAAUAUGUUCAAAAUUACGGUUAAUUGUUGGUACAUGUUAAAACAUGUUCAUAUUUAUGUAUUUGUUAACUGUUAAUUCACAUUAAUGUGAUGUGUGUAUUUUUUUAAUAAAAGGCUCUUAAUCUUCUUAAA